rnacentral:lncRNA from 1 species
UUAUAAGGAGUGAAAGAGACACCAUCUACGGCUUCGCUCCUGGGGAGCCAGAAGCAUGGAAUCAGAAUUCCACUCUCCAGGUGGGAACGUUGUGAUGGAAUACGCUCUGAGAGAUAGAGGAGGCGACUUCUGCCAGGAGUGAUCAGGAGGACUUCUUGGAGGAGGCAGCACUUGAGCUGGUCUUGAAAGAUGAUGAGAUUUUAAUGGGAAAAGAGAUGAUCGAGAAGAACCUUCUAGCAGGAGGGAGCUGCCCUAGCAAAGACAGGAAGGCUGGAAAAUGCGAGAAGUGGGACAGGAAGAUCAACACAGGACCUCUCCCUUCUGAGCCAAACUGACACCUACCUCUUGCCAUGACAGGCCGCUCUUCUGGAGAUUAUAAACUAUUUAUUUUUAACAGAGAAACUGCCUUAGUUGGAGUUCUGGCUCUGCCACUUACUUAGGUCGGCGCUGCCUCAGGUCUGAAAUGAUGUCUUCUCUUUCCUGUUUUCUGAGCAGCUCAUUCUGCUGCCCGUCAAAUAGGCCCUUUCCCCAGGACCCUUGGGGUCCAGCUGAGUGGAGCAGCCUCCCACACUGGAAGCCUUGAGUUUUCCCCACCUGGGCCUUUCUCUCUGUCCCUGACAUCCGGUUGGUCACCAGAUCCUGGCAGUUGAAAGUCAUUCUCAAGUCCAGCCCCACCACUGCACCUCGGUCCAUGCUCCUGGACACCAGUCUCUCACCGAGCGCUAUGCGUGGCUUGCGUCUGCGGCUGAGAAAUCCUUUCAAACGCACGCCUUCCCUAUUAUAUCCAGCAUAGGAUCUGACCCGGCAGGACCUCAGUAAAGACUUGUGGCUGCUUUAAGAGUGGGCACCUGCCGUCACAUUUUCCUCAGCAUUUUCCCUAUGCUGCUGGCGCAUUGGGUAGCUCUACUCAACCCAUGACGGAUUGCAGAUCUUUUGGCCGCUGCAUUCACAAAUUUGUCCCGAGCCGCUCCAUGGAAGGCAUCCCAGAAGCCUAUCAAUCUUCCCAUGAGUGUUCAAGAUUCCCAAAUCCCCAAAAGGCCCUAAUACCAUCUCUGUGUGAGCAGCUGCCCAUGUGUUGGGGAGUGCCCUGCCUGAGGCAGAGGGCGCACUGCAUCUGUUUGGAGGUGGGUGAGCCUCACGUGUUCUGCACAGGGCAUGAGGUAGGCAUUGGAGAGCAGCCCUGGCCCCCCCACCCAGGGGACAGUAGGUGGGGUUCUAAAUUAUGAGUCAUUAAUCAGCUCUUCAUAUGUCUGAAUUAUUCAUAAAGUAAGUGCUUGUGGUUUGGAUGCUAGUCUAUGAAUAUAUAGGCAAAUUAUUUAUUAUGGCAUUUACAUGGAUUUUGCAAAAAAGUUUUCCAGAAACCCUUUAGGUUCAGUGGUUGAAUUUAACAAAUAUUUCCUGUGCACCUACUCUAUGACAGAAAUUGUGAUUGGCGUUAAAGACAUAAAGAUGAAUAGGAUAAUAAGCACCUGCCUUCAGUGUGCUCUGGGUUAGCAGGGAGAACACACAAUCCAGCUGGUCCACAGAGGCUGACUUAUUAACAACAUUUAUCACAGCAUGUGGGAAAUAUGAGCUAACUGUAUUUCAGAUAGUAACAUGACCACGCCAAAACCAAACCAAAUCAAAACAAGGCAAGAAACCAAACCAACAAACCAACCCCACCACCACAACAGAAACUAACCCAAGUAACAUUGAACACGGAACCUUGACCUAUAACCCUUGUCCUGCAGACAAAAUACCUGCAAACAAAUAUUGAACUUGACUUGUGGGUUUGCUUUCACUGUGGUGCAAGGUAGCAAUUCUGUAAUGAUUUUCUGUCUUGUAGGGUUGAGCAAAUACAAGAUUCCACCAGUGCUGUUGGAAGCCAGCGUUCUUGUUUUUGGAAAGGGGACAUUUUCUUUCUUUCUCUUAUUUUUUUCCCUCCCUCCCUCCCUCCCUCCCUCCCUCCCUCCCUUCCUUCCUUUCCGUCAAAGCACUUACAAUCUUCUCACAUACUAUACAAUUUACUUAUUUAUUGUGUUCCCCAUUUGGUGUCUGUCUUCCCCCCGGGGGCAGGGCUCUUUGCUGCUUCAUCCAAUAUGUGUUCACGAUCUGAGUGCCUGCAAUAGUAGGCAUGUGCUUAUCUAGUGAAUGAUGGGCAAUGGUGGUGGAGAUGCAGAUUAGGACCAGGUCAUGGGGAGUACUGGAUUACGAAAGUGAACACAUUUGGAUUUCAGCCUGUUGGAAAAUGAGAUGAUGCUGGAAGUGGUGAAGGGGCUGCAACAUGAUGAGAG